AACGCACCUUGCGCCCCUUGGUAUUCCGAGGGGCAUGCCUGUUCGAGUGUCUUGAAUUCAUCGCGGCCUGAGGUUUCCUUCCUCGGGCCCGCGGAAGUGGGGGCCUGCCGCGGCGACGCGGCUCCCCUCAAAUGCAUCGGUGGGGUCCGCAACGGGCAUCCCGGGCGUUGUACUGUCCUCGUCCGACACGGGUGUUUCUCCGCGUCCCCCUCCCCGACCGUUUUCCGCGCGAGCGGCGGUCAAACCUUUACACUUUGAAAUCUGACCUCGAAUCAGGUAGGACUACCCGCUGAACUUAA
rnacentral:misc_RNA from 1 species